GCGGGCUUGUGCGCCUAGGGUUGCGCGUCCCUGUUCCCCAAACUUCGGUUACCCCCUUAUGGCUUGCACUCCGCUGUCACCCCCAGUCCACCCUGGGACCGAAAGGAAACAGAGAUGGAAGGGAGGCGACCGGGAGGGCUGGAGAAGGAAGGCUCCGCUACCGGGUGUUUUGCGGCCGGGAGUAGUUUUGAUGGCACAAGGGGCGGGGCAUAAGGGCACUGGAAUGAGAAGGGGCUGUGAAGCUAGGAAGGUCUCCUGGGUCACCUGCCUGACAAGUGGAAGAGCUCAGGCGUCCAAUAGUGACCAUGGAUGGAGACUCAGUGUUACAAGCCAUUUAGAGGGUCUGAAAGGCUUAUAUCCAGGAGGGAGAUGGGUUUACAAGGCUGUCAUGGUUCUCACCUCUUGCCUCUUUACCCACUAGACUUCCGCACUGACCCAAGGGCUGGAACGAAUCCCAGACCAGCUUGGCUACCUGGUGCUGAGCGAAGGUGCAGUGCUAGCGUCAUCUGGGGAUCUUGAGAACGAUGAGCAGGCAGCCAGCGCCAUCUCAGAACUGGUCAGCACAGCCUGUGGCUUCCGGCUGCACCAUGGCACGAACAUCCCUUUCAAGCGCCUGUCUGUGGUCUUUGGUGAACACACGCUGCUGGUGACUGUGUCAGGACAGAGGGUGUUUGUGGUCAAGAGGCAGAACCGAGGUCGGGAGCCUAUUGAUGUCUGAGCUAUAAAAGGCACUGGCUGGAGAAGAGGACUGCCUCUGGGGCCUAUGGCGGGGGGACAUCAUCUUCUACUGUGCUUGUUGGAGCUGGGCUUGUGCUUACCAUCUCCUUCCUGACCCCCACCUGAGGCACAAAGGCUUGGCAACUUGUGUGCUAAGGAAAAAGGGAAACUAUGACUAGGGGGAUCCCCUUUCUUCCCUUCUGCAUAAUAAACUCUAGUCCAACCCUU
rnacentral:lncRNA from 1 species